rnacentral:rRNA from 1 species
UACAGAGGUCCCAAGCGUUGUUCGGAUUCACUGGGCGUAAAGGGUGCGUAGGCGGUCGGGUAAGUCUGACGUGAAAUCUUCAAGCUUAACUUGGGAACUGCGUCGGAUACUAUUCGGCUGGAGGAAUGGAGGGGAGACUGGAAUACUUGGUGUAGCGGUGAAAUGCGUAGAUAUCAAGUGGAACACCAGUGGCGAAGGCGAGUCUCUGGACAUUUCCUGACGCUGAGGCACGAAAGCCAGGGGAGCAAACGGG